CUUCUUUGAAAGGACAUUCGAUAAAAUUAAAACGAUACAAAAAUCUUAGCAUGCCCCCUGCGAAAGGAUGACACGUACAAAUUGAAAAAUGGUCUAAACAAUU